rnacentral:rRNA from 1 species
AUAAUGGGUCAGCGACUUAUAUUCUGUAGCAAGGUUAACCGAAUAGGGGAGCCGAAGGGAAACCGAGUCUUAACUGGGCGUUAAGUUGCAGGGUAUAGACCCGAAACCCGGUGAUCUAGCCAUGGGCAGGUUGAAGGUUGGGUAACACUAACUGGAGGACCGAACCGACUAAUGUUGAAAAAUUAGCGGAUGACUUGUGGCUGGGGGUGAAAGGCCAAUCAAACCGGGAGAUAGCUGGUUCUCCCCGAAAGCUAUUUAGGUAGCGCCUCGUGAAUUCAUCUCCGGGGGUAGAGCACUGUUUCGGCAAGGGGGUCAUCCCGACUUACCAACCCGAUGCAAACUGCGAAUACCGGAGAAUGUUAUCACGGGAGACACACGGCGGGUGCUAACGUCCGUCGUGAAGAGGGAAACAACCCAGACCGCCAGCUAAGGUCCCAAAGUCAUGGUUAAGUGGGAAACGAUGUGGGAAGGCCCAGACAGCCAGGAUGUUGGCUUAGAAGCAGCCAUCAUUUAAAGAAAGCGUAAUAGCUCACUGGUCGAGUCGGCCUGCGCGGAAGAUGUAACGGGGCUAAACCAUGCACCGAAGCUGCGGCAGCGACGCUUAUG